rnacentral:rRNA from 1 species
AGGGUUCGAUUCUGGCUCAGGAUGAACGCUGGCGGCGUGCUUAACACAUGCAAGUCGAACGGGAUCUGACCAGCUUGCUGGUUGGUGAGAGUGGCGAACGGGUGAGUAAUGCGUGACCAACCUGCCCCAUGCUCCAGAAUAGCUCUUGGAAACGGGUGGUAAUGCUGGAUGCUCCAACUUGACGCAUGUCUUGUUGGGAAAGUGUUUAGUGGCAUGGGAUGGGGUCGCGUCCUAUCAGCUUGUAGGCGGGGUAAUGGCCCACCUAGGCUUCGACGGGUAGCCGGCCUGAGAGGGCGGACGGCCACAUUGGGACUGAGAUACGGCCCAGACUCCUACGGGAGGCAGCAGUGGGGAAUAUUGCGCAAUGGGGGGAACCCUGACGCAGCGACGCCGCGUGCGGGAUGAAGGCCUUCGGGUUGUAAACCGCUUUUGAUUGGGAGCAAGCCUUUUGGGUGAGUGUACCUUUCGAAUAAGCGCCGGCUAACUACGUGCCAGCAGCCGCGGUAAUACGUAGGGCGCAAGCGUUAUCCGGAAUUAUUGGGCGUAAAGAGCUUGUAGGCGGUUCGUCGCGUCUGGUGUGAAAGCCCAUCGCUUAACGGUGGGUUUGCGCCGGGUACGGGCGGGCUAGAGUGCAGUAGGGGAGACUGGAAUUCUCGGUGUAACGGUGGAAUGUGUAGAUAUCGGGAAGAACACCAAUGGCGAAGGCAGGUCUCUGGGCUGUUACUGACGCUGAGAAGCGAAAGCGUGGGGAGCGAACAGGAUUAGAUACCCUGGUAGUCCACGCCGUAAACGGUGGACGCUGGAUGUGGGGCCCAUUCCACGGGUUCUGUGUCGGAGCUAACGCGUUAAGCGUCCCGCCUGGGGAGUACGGCCGCAAGGCUAAAACUCAAAGAAAUUGACGGGGGCCCGCACAAGCGGCGGAGCAUGCGGAUUAAUUCGAUGCAACGCGAAGAACCUUACCUGGGCUUGACAUGUGCCUGACGACUGCAGAGAUGUGGUUUCCUUUCGGGGCAGGUUCACAGUGGGGGGCAUGGUC